UGAAUUAAGGAUAUGAAAAAUGAAUCAAGAAAGAAUAAAUACAAAUGGCAAACAAACAUAACCCAAAUCAUCCUUAUUAUUAAAUUGAAACCAUACCAAUUUACCCAUUUUUGUCCACCAGACUGACAAAAAUUUUUACAUAUUGAUAAAUGACAUUGUUGAGAGUACAGGAGAGAAGGCACUUUCAUGCACUAUUGGUAAGGAUGUUGAUUCAUGAAAGUUUUUCUCAGAGUGCACUUUGGCAAUAUUGGUGAAAAUUAAAAUAGGCAUACCAUUUUACCAAGCAAUUUCUUCUCUAGGGAUCUAUCCUAAAGACACUUAUACAAGUUUGACAAGAUAGGUAGGUACAGAGGUGUAUACAGCUGUGCAUUACAGUGUUGCUUUAAUAGAAAAAUAGUGAACAAUGACACUUUCCAACAAAUGUAUCAUUUUAUAAUGUAAAAAAUCAAGUUUUUAUUGAAAAAAAUAACAUUUGAAAGAGAUUUCACAAGAAUACAGAGACGUUAAUGGAGUUAGAAUGUACUAUGCUAAGCGAAAUAAGUCAAUCACAGAGACAAAUAUAUGAUUUCACGCAUGUGGAAUUUGAGAAACAAAACCUGAACAUAUGGGAAGAGGAAGGAAAAAGAGAAGAAUGAGAAACAAAUCACAAGAGACUCUUAACCAAAGAGAACAAACUGUGGGUUGACAGAGGGAGGUAAGUGGGAGAUGGGUGAUGGGUAUUAAGGAGGGUACUUGUGAUGAGCACUGGGUGUUGUAUAUAAGUCAUGAGACACUGAAUUCUACUUCUGAAACCGUUUCACUGUAUGUUAUCUAGCUAAAGUAUAAAAAUAAAUGAAUUUUUUAAUGUUUAUUUAUUCUUGAGAGAGAGACAGAGCAUGAGCAGGGGAGGGGCAGAGCGAGAGAGGGACACAGAAUCCAAAGCUCAUGCUCUCUCUCUCCUUCAGAAAUAAAGCUCACGAGCCGUGAGAUCAUGACCUGAGCUGAAGUCGGAUGCUUAGCCAACUGAGCCACAGGUGCCCCUAAAUAAAUUAUUUUUUAAAAAAGAUAGUCUCUAACAAUAAAUAAGUAGAACCAGAAAAAAAUAGUUCUCCAAAGCACCACAGAUAUAGUCAGUUAAAACUUCAGAAGUUAUGAGAAACUACUUUUAAUAAAGAAUAAUGUGGUGGUUUAGAGCUAACCUGGAAAUCAAGAGAACUAUUAAAAAUCACUUGUUGAUAAAAUAGUGAUUUUUAAAAAUGUAAAUCCCAGACUCUGUAUCCCAGGAUGUAAAUAAAACAGUUCCCGACAAUAAAUAUUGGCUGAAUGAAUGAAUGAGAAUAAUACUUCCAUGAGGGUUGUCAUAAGACUUGAUGCAAGAUUGCCUAAGGAUUAGUGCUUGAUACAUAACAAGUGUUUAGUAGGUACUAGUUCACUACUUUCCUGGAGGCCAGUUUGAGCUUCAUACCUGCCUGGCACAUUACAGGGGGUUGUUUAUUUAAAACCGUGCAUAUAGUGCUUACUAUAUGCCAGGUAUUGUCCUAAGUGCUUUACAAACACUAACACUAACAAACACUAACCAAUUGCAGUAACAGCUGAAGUAGCUAGUCUUAUUAUCCCACUUAACAGGUGAGGCAAUUGAAGUAAAAAGCAAUUGAGCAAUUUGCCCAAGCUAGCACAGCUAGACAAUGGUGGGGAUGUGAAUACAGACAGUCUAGCUUCAGGGCCCCUGCUCCACUGUGCCAUGUUGCCAGUCACGUGAUAAAAAUUUAUCCAAUGAAAGAAUUAAUGAGAUGUUAUGCUUAUUAGAAAUUACAUUGUGCUUUUAUUCUAGAGAAUAUGUUCUGUUAAAUCAUACCUGAAAAUUAAUCCUGCAGUAAGCCUUUGAGGUAGAGCAUAUUUUUUAAAUGUUUAAAAUGUAUUACUGGGGCACCUGGGUGACUCAGUUGGUUAGGCAUCUGAUUCUUGAUUUUGACUCAGGUCAUGAUCUCAUGGUUGGUGAGACUGAGCCCUGCAUUGGGCUCUGCGCUGACAGCAUGGAACCCACUUGGGAUUCUCUCUCUCCCUCUCUAUCUCUGCCCCUCCCCCACUAGCUCUCACAUGUGCUCCCUCUCUCUCUGUCUCUCAAAUAAAACUAAGAUAAAAUUUAAUUUAAUUUAAUUUAAUUUAAUUUAAUUUAAAAAUGUAUUACUAGUUCUUGAAUUGUGUUUUAAAAGACCACAGGCAGUCCUUCCUUCGAUGAAGUCACUAUAUUUGUUUUCUGACAUCAUAAACUUUCCAUACAACAGUUCCAAGUUCUAAACAGAAAGACAUCUGCUCUAGAAAUGGAAGAGGCAUAAGGGCUUACAGAGAAGAAUUACAUAACAAGAUCAAAAUUAUUUAGAGGGGAAAGAUAGUGUGUGUGAGUUUUAAUCUUCUAUGUGGCUAAUGCAAUGGACCUAUAGACUUCUUGAGAGUUUUGUUUGUUUUUUUUUAGUUUUAACCUUAAUUUAACUUCAAAUCAUAACAUAAUACUACCUUUUCUUUUUCAUGAUUUAUUCAUUCAUGCAUUUAAUUCAUUCAAUUAAUAAUUAUUGACCAUCUACUAUCCGCCAGGCAUUGCACUAGGUGUUAAGGAUAACAUGGUGAACAAAAAGGCUAAGUCCUUGUCCUCAUGGCUUCUCUAAUCUGAUGGAGAAGACACAUAAUAACACUGCAUAAAUGAAAUUAUGAACAUCACAGCCUUGGCAAGUGCUAUGUAGCUUUGUGGAAAAGGGACAUGAAAGUAUAUAAUAGGGGGAAUGAAUGUAGUUGAGGCUGAUUCUUCCCCUCUCAGAACAUUCCCUCCAGCAUGGAUAGAAUCCGUCUUCUAAUUCCUGCCCCAGCAGCACCUCUUAGAUCCUACAACUUGCACAUAUUAAGCUUACAUUUCUGGAAUCCAUUUAGGCAGCCAAUGUAUUCAAGAAAAAAUGGCCCAUUAAAAAUAAUAUCUUUAAUUUAUUAUUUUCUUAUUGCUUCUAGUCCUUUUUUUCCAAAAGAAAGAAACACCAAAACAUCAAUUGAAAAAUCUAAUUUCCAUUAGUAAUAUAUAUAUAUGUGUGUGUGUGUGUGUACACACACACACACAUGUUUUAAUUUAAAGAUCUAAUUGGUUUUAUUAAAUGAUUUACGAAUGUGCCCCUGUUUAGGGCUUGGGAUUCUAGGAUGUAGGAGAAGGGAUCCUUUGCCCUCCAUCCUUGCCCACCCUGCAUUCCUUCUCCUUACACUCUUUUCUUUGUUGUGUCAUGUGUUCAUUGUUUUGAUGACACCCCAUGUCUGCUACUGGAUUGGGUUCCCCAUUGUAAUCAGCUCAUUACCUUCUAUCUAGGUGUUUACUAAUCAGAGUGUGGUCCUGGACCAAUGGCAUCAGCAUCACCUAGCUAGAUGCUUGUUAGAAAUGCAAAAUCUCAGCUCCCCACCCCCAGGCCUACUAAGUCAGCAUUUGCACAUUGAGAAGAUCCUCAGAUUUUUUUCUGAGCACAUUAAAAUUGAGGAGCAUCAUUUUACCCCCAUCAGCUUCCAGGAAUGUAAAAUGGACAAGGUCAUUCUUGCCCAGCCCACCUUGCUCACAGCUUUGAAUUGAAGAUGCUCUGAGAUUUAAAACAAUAAUAACAAAAGGCAUUUUCAGGAGAUAAAAAUGCAAUACAACUAUUAAACAUCAGAUUUAAUAUUAUUUCUUUUCACCUAGAUAACUUGAUUUACUAAAGCUGUUUUCAGAGGUAAACAAAGAUUACUCCUAUUUGACUGACUCUGUUUCUGUAAUAAUUGGUUGUUCUAUCUUAAAAUACCCUAGAGUUCUGUUUUAUUUUGUUUAAUGUAUAGGUCAACAAUUCUUUCAUCCUUACUGCACGUGAGAAUUUUCAGAUUUUGUUCUGAAAACCUAAAUCCCGAGUCCUACUCCCAAAGAUUCUGAUUCAGUGGGUCUAGAGUGCCGCUUGGGCUUAUGUAAUUUGUUUUAAAUGUUUAUUUAUUUUUGAAGGGGGGGGGGAGGGGCAGAGAGAGAGGGAGGUGGAGGACCCGAAGCAGGCUCUGAGCUGACAGCAGAGAGCCCAAUGUGGGGCUCAAACCCACGAACUGUGAGAUCAUGACCUGAGCCGAAGUCAGACACUUAGCCAAAUGAGCCACCCAGGUGCCCUAACUUUUUAAAGUUCCCUAGGUAAAUCUAAUGUACUGGUAGGGUUAAGAAUCAUUGAUGGAAAUAAAUAAGAGAUGAGGAGAGUUAGAUAUAGGGUAUAAUAAACACAUGUAAAAAUAGCUGUAGUUCUGUUUUCAGGAAUCCAUUCUACCAGAAUAUGUAUACAAAGAUGUAUGUGCACAAAGGCUCAUUGCGGCAUUAUUUGUAAGAGCAAACAUGUUGGAAACAAUUUUAGUGUCCGCCAAUUAGUGAAUGAUCACAUAAGCAGGGCACAUCCAUAUAAUGCAAUACUGUGCCAACGAAUAAAGCAAAUGAGGAAGACUUAUAUCUACUGCCAUGAGAAUAUCUCCAAGGUAUGUAUUGUUAAAUUCUUUACAGUUACCUAACAGUAUGUGAUAUAUGAUCUCAUUUAUCUGAAAAGAUAAGUGUGCAUAUAUACAUCCGUGGGUAUGUAAAUGUUUAGAAAGAUCACUGAGGGGUACUUACCAAACUGUUGACAGUGGCUACCUCUGGGAAGAAGAAUGGGCGGGUAAGGGGCUUUUCACUGUGUAAGCUUCCAAAUAUUUUACAAGAAUGUAUCCAUGCGCUACUUGUGUAAGUAUUCAAAAUACAUUCCAGGGCUGCUGGCUGUCAUACCAUUUGUAAUCCUGGAUAAUAGACUAUUUAAACUAAUUAUUAUUUUAAUAUUACAAUCUUGAAUGCAUAAUUUUAUAAUAAAUAUUAUAGUGGCUGACAAAAAUAAAACAUAUCUAUAAUACCUACACAAAACAAAAACUGCUAGGGCACCUGGCAUUUUUGUUAUUCAACCUGUCACUUCUCGAUUCUGGGAUUACUGGAAUUAUGUUGUUCUGACUUCUCUAGAUACCAUCCAAUCCAAUGAUAUACUUGGCAUUGACACUAACAACCUCUCUAGUUCCUUGGAUAACUCACCCAUGUAAGUAGAUCCUACUUCUAGAAGAGUCUCUAUAUUAGCACUAUGUAAAUUCUCCCUUGUCCAGCUCUAGAAGUCACUAAGGACAGAAGGGCCCUACAACUGAGCCUUGCUGAGAGCCAGGUCUCCUCCAUUUUAGGUAAUUGCAAAAAGCAUGCCGAUUAAGCCUUUGUAGGAGGGAUGUGCAUCCUGUCUAGGGAAAAAUUCUCAAGAGUCGGCUGGGAUAGCUCUUCCUCUUUGAAAUGGUGAUUCUGGAUGCAGGUGAUCCUGGGGCCCCACUUUGAGAAGCACUGCUGCUCCCUGUUGCUACCUGCACCAGCACCUCCAGCAAGGGCUCCUAACGGUGUUCCCAGCACUUUUUGGGGGGAGUUCCUCUCCCCCUUGGCCAACAGGCCCAGAGCCAGUCCUCAGCAGCCGUUUCAAUUGGAAGUGGAGCCAGCUGUCUCCAGGCUUCUUCUUCAGGUAACAGUAGUCCUCAGAGGCCACUCCCUGCAGAGAGACAUCUCCCAGAGACCAGCCAUUCAGAGCCCCUAGAAGGCAACUCCCAACAAAGACUUGAAACAAAGAGCCCCCUGCUCUUAUGCCACAAGGCAUAAGGGUUGAUUUUAACCAGUUGAUUUUUAUUAGAUCACAGGUUCUUAAACUUCAGCGUGCAUCAGAAUUACCAGGGCAGCUUGGUUCAAGUCCGUGGACCCAGGCCCCAUCCCAGAACCACCCACAGGAUAGAGCUGAUUGAUCAGUAGUUUAAUGAGCUACCAGUAGAUGCAGAUACUCACCAGAGCUUGAGAACCAUCAUUUAGAACAAAGGCCUCGUAAAACUCCAACCAUUGUACUGCAAAACUUGAGAUCCGAAACAUUAUUACCACUGAACACGAUUGGUUUUCCUUCCUCACUCUCUUAAUGUCCCUAAUAAUUUUCUAUCCAAGAAGUCAAAUACUUUCCUAGAGGAAAAUAGCUGCUAGACAUUCUGACUUGCUAAGUGCCAAUAUGCUGCGGUUUGAGAAAAUCUAUGCUCAAAAAUCUAAACUUUUAAAACUAAUUAGAGAUUAGUUUUAUCAUUACCAAAAAUAUAGUAAGAAUAACUUUUAUUAAGUUCUCAUUAUGUGCCACGUACUGCUCUAAGUAUUGCUAAGUGUUAAAAUAACCAGUAUUUAUUGAGCACUUGCUUUGUAACAAAAAACAUUAUUUCAUUUAGUCUGUCAUUUCACCUAAGCAUUUUUUAAAAAUUUUUUUAAUGUUUGUUUAUUUUUGAGAGACAGAGACAGAGCAUCAGCAGGGGAGGAGCAGAGAGAGAGGGAGACACAGAAUCCGAAGCAAGGUCCAGGCUCUGAGCUGUUAGCACAGAGCCCAAUGUGGGGCUCGAACUCAUGAACUGUGAGAUAGUGACCUGAGCUAAAGUUGGAUGCUCAACCGACAAAGCCACACAGGUGCCCCACACCUAAGCAUUUUAGAUGGAGUGACAGAUGAGGAAACUGAGACACACACAAACUAAUUUACUUGCCAAACAUUGCACAACUGUUAAGCAGUAGGGCUAUGUUUGAAUCCAGAGACCAAUUCUCAACCAUUAUUUCACCUUGCUGAUAUUAUCAUAGCAAUCAUAACAGUGCUUUAUUCAACAAGUAUCUAUCAUAAUGCUAUUGAGUGCCAGGAUUGGGGGUUAUAUAUUCUAUUCUAAGUAUACAGUGACAAACAAGACAAACACAGCCCUUGCUUUCACUGUGUGCAUGAUCUGUUGAACAAUCUGAAUGUGUCAACAAGUUAUUCAGUGCAGCAUGAGGAGUGCGGUACCAGGAAACCACUGCGUUGGGUGAUAAGACACAGCCUAGACCAGGAGGAUUAAGGAGGGUUUCUUGCAAAAAGUGAGGCAUGAGUGAAGAUCUAAAGAAUGAUGAAUUAGCCAAGAGAAGAGGAGAGAGGAGAGCUGGGGCUGAGGAGACAGUGGUUAUAAGGGCCCAGGGUUAAGAGAACACAUACAAUGGUGAGUCUAGGAAAUGAAAAGUGAUUGGUACAAUUGGAGCAGGGAGGGAAGAGGGCAAUGUGUGAACAGUGAGACUGGAGAGAGAAACCAGAACUAGAUUUUGAGGUGCCAUGUAAAGCACGUUAAAGGAUGUUAGUGUGUGGGAAAUGGAGAUCCAUUGAAAGGUGUCAGUCAGAGCACAUAGCUGAAGGGUGAGGUGUGGCCUGAUCUGUUGAUGUGCAUGUCACAGGGAGAUACUAUCACCCAGGGAAGGGGGAAGACCAGGGCCUUGGGACCACCAACAUUCCAGGGCUGGAAAGAGGAGGAAGAGCCCCCAGAAGAGACUCAGGAGAUGUAAGAGGAAGACAAUGAGAGGUGACUCAAUUUACCCAAGAUCACAAAGCUA